rnacentral:piRNA from 1 species
UAAUAGUAUAAAAAUUACAUUGG